rnacentral:rRNA from 1 species
UACGUAGGGUGCGAGCGUUGUCCGGAAUUAUUGGGCGUAAAGGGCUCGUAGGCGGUUUGUCGCGUCGGGAGUGAAAACACUGGGCUUAACUCAGUGCUUGCUUCCGAUACGGGCAGACUAGAGGUAUGCAGGGGAGAACGGAAUUCCUGGUGUAGCGGUGAAAUGCGCAGAUAUCAGGAGGAACACCGGUGGCGAAGGCGGUGGUCUGGGCCGGAACUGACGCUGAGGAGCGAAAGCGUGGGGAGCGAACAGG